rnacentral:rRNA from 1 species
GAUCAUGGCUCAGGAUGAACGCUGGCGGCGUGCUUAACACAUGCAAGUCGAACGAAGCACUUAAAUUUGAUUCUUCGGAUGAAGAUUUUUGUGACUGAGUGGCGGACGGUGAGUAACGCGUGGGUAACCGUGCCUCAUACAGGGGGAGUAACAGUUAGAAAUAGACUGCUAAUACCGCAUAAGCGCACAGGGUCGGCAUGACCUGGUGUGAAAAACUACCGGUGGUAUGAGAUGGACCCGGCCG